rnacentral:rRNA from 1 species
GUCGAACGCUGGCGGCGUGCCUAAUACAUGCAAGUAGAACGCAGUUGCGAACGGGUGAGUAACGCGUAGGUAACUGCCUCAUAGCGGGGGAUAACUAUCGGAAACGAUAGCUAAUUCCGCAUUCUGUGAGAUGGAUCUGCGUUGUAUUAGCUAGUUGGAGAGGUAAAGGCUCACCAAGGAGACGAUACAUAGCCGACCUGGGAGGGUGAGCGUCCAACCUUGGAAUGAGACCCGGCCCAGACUCCUACGGGAGGCAGCAGUAGGGAAACUUCGGCAAUGGACGGAAGGCUGACCGAGCAACGCCGCGUGAGUGAAGAAGGUUUUCGGAUCGUAAAGCUCUGUUGUGAGAGGAGCGGUAACUAAACAGAAAGGGACGGCUAACUACGUGCCAGCAGCCGCGGUAAUAC